UACAGAGGGUGCGAGCGUUAAUCGGAAUUACUGGGCGUAAAGCGUGCGUAGACGGUCUCGUAAGUCGGGUGUGAAAUCCCCGGGCUCAACCUGGGAAUUGCAUUCGAAGCUGCGAGGCUAGGGUACGGAAGAGGGAAGCGGAAUUUCUGGUGUAGCGGUGAAAUGCGUAGAUAUCAGAAGGAACAUCAGUGGCGAAAGCGGCUUCCUGGUCCAGUACCGACGUUCAGGCACGAAAGCGUGGGGAGCAAACAGG
rnacentral:rRNA from 1 species